GCUUGUCUCAAAGAUUAAGCCAUGCAUGUCUAAGUAUAAACACCUUUAUACUGUGAAACUGCGUACAGCUCAUUAAAUCAGUAAUAAUUUAUUUGAUGGUGACUUACUACAUGGAUAACCGUAGUAACCUAGAGCUAAUACAUGCACAAAAUCCCGACUUACGGAGGGUUGUAUUUAUUAGAUAAAAACCAAUGCCUCGUGCUUUUGGUGAGUCAUGAUAACUGCGCGGAUCGCAUGGCCUUGCGCCGGCGACGCUUCAUUCAAAUUUCUGCCCUAUCAACUUUCGAUGGUAAGAUAGAGGCUUACCAUGGUGUUAACGGGUAACGGGGAAUUGGGGUUCGAUUCCGGAGAGGGAGCCUGAGAAAUGGCUACCACUUCCAAGGAAGGCAGCAGG
rnacentral:rRNA from 1 species